CGCGUAGGGAUCUGCCCGGUAGAGGGGGACAACCUGGGAAACCCAGGCUAAUACCGCAUGAGCUCGCGAGAGGAAAGCGGGGGACCUUCGGGCCUCGCGCUACCGGAUGAGCCUACGUCCGAUUAGCUGGUUGGCGGGGUAACGGCCCACCAAGGCGACGAUCGGUAGCUGGUCUGAGAGGACGAUCAGCCACACUGGGACUGAGACACGGCCCAGACUCCUACGGGAGGCAGCAGUGGGGAAUAUUGGACAAUGGGCGCAAGCCUGAUCCAGCAAUGCCGCGUGGGUGAAGACGGCCUGCGGGUUGUAAAGCCCUUUGGGCGGGGAGGAACGGCGUCGCGCGAACAGGGCGGCGCUCUGACGUUACCCGCGAAACAAGCACCGGCUAACUCCGUG
rnacentral:rRNA from 1 species